UACGAGUUACGACGAAGCGAAAUCAGACACACAGUUUGUUGCACUUGCACACCGGUCGAUUUCGUCGGAGUCGUUUGUCUUUAUUAGUUCAGUUAGAAAAUUUUGUAAAAUUCAUCUGUAUUUUAUCGCACGUGGUUGGUUUUUCUCGCUGAUUAUACACCCGUCGAGAGAUUCACCAUGAGCUGCAGUUUUAAUGGUCAAACGAGCAAAGAUGAGGAACUUACCAUUAUGUUUUCAGAGGCGAUGGAUUGGCAAAGUGUUGCAACAAAAUCAUCAGAAGAUGUUGUUAUUUAUCCAGUUAAUGGAGGGCACCGUUCUGGUAGCUCACAGAUCAAAGUUAAAAAUAUAGUUGAUUCAUCAUGGGAUAAAGCUUUCCACUGGGGAAACCUGGUUGCCACUCAUUACAAGGGGCAAUAUUUUGCAUAUGCACUGACAGUCCCCGGAAAAUCAGCUGGCAUGGUUCGAGUGAUAAGAACUGGGAGCAGUGAUAGAAUCCUAUUAAAGGGAUUCCAUGGCUUUGUUCGAGACCUGUCUUUUGCGUUCCAUGAGAAAAGGAUACUUGUGGCUGCUGUCGAUGAAUAUAGUUACCUUCUCGUCCAUGAGAUCAUUGGAUCAACUGCUCAAUUGAUUUUGCAAGUGAAUCCCGAUGGAAUUACUACUGCCACCGACUGCCAUCGUGUAGUCUGGUGUCCCUAUGUCCCAGAAAAUCCCAAAACUCUAGAUGAAUUGAGUGAUGGUUUGAGAAAUGAUGCUGAUGAUCAUGCAUUAAUGCUUGCAGCGGUACAUGAUUGCCGUGUGGAAAUAUGGCAUCUGGGUCAUAUCAAUGGAACAGUCACCUACCCCAGUGUGACUACUGGAUCCACUCAAAUUACCUCAUUUGAUGAUGCUGUUGUUGAUGUGGCAUUUUCUCCAGAUUCAACAGCAAUUGCUGUCGCCAGUUUGGAUGGCUACGUCAGAUUCUUUUUGGUCAAUAUUAAAAAGGAAAUUCCAAAAAUUUUGCACAAGUGGCAACCACAUGAAGGAAAAAGGCUCUCAGGCAUUAUUUUCUUGGACAAUCUCAGUCAUCCAACUAUCAGAGAAUGUCCGCUGUGGAAGUGGGCAGUCACAUCCGCGGAAAACAACACAGAGUUUAAGCUAUGGUCCUGUGAAUUGUGGAAGUGCCAUCAGACGAUCCGUUUCAAAUCGGAUGAUUCUAUUCCCAUUAUCCAAAAAAUGACACUCGACUUGUCGGCUUCAUUCCUUCUUAUUUCCGACAUUCAUCGCAAGGCUUUGUACGUUAUGCACAUAGAACAGGAGCCAGAAGAGAAGAAUCCGCUCUCUGAUGACGGCGAAGAACCUUCCAAAUCGGAAGAACGAACCAUCUCGAAAGUGAGCAGCAUCACUCAACUCCUGUUGCCUUUCUCAGCCAUUAGUGUUGCCAUCCGUGAAGCUUCAAUUAGGCCACCUUCCCAGCCAUUGGGUGACGAGGACUUUGAUGGAGAUGAAAAGGCCAGUAAAGUGAUAAUGAAGAUGUUCGUAGUGCAGCCCAAGUCGCUGCAAAAGUGCAAAGCAGUCUUCGAAUUGGGGACUUCGGUCCCACUGGGCGAGGCUAUUGGAACCUCCUUCUCCACCAUCAACACCACGUCGGAGUAUGAACCGGUGAAUGUAGUCAAAACAGCAUCCGCUACCAACCACAUCAACCUGUUGACACCCGACGCGUUCGUCUCUCCAGCCAAAACCAACACGGAUUCCUCAUCUCAAAAGCAAUUGAUUGUGACUUCACCAGGCACUGUGAGUCCCUUGCCGCCUGCAUCAGGUGAGAUCCUGGCCCUUUCAAGCCCACGACGACCGACACCUGAGGUUACCUCAUCAACGACGCCGAAGCGGAACGGCAUUCCCAGUGGGGGUAGCAGUCCCAGUCGCGAAGUUGAAGAAAUCCUGGGAACAAGACCUAUGACGGAAGGCUCGAUUGAGUCACCCGAUACCUCUUCCGCCACCGUGCCUACUGGUCCAGCUCUUCAAGACGCCUUAUCAGCCUAUCCCAUUUCGUUGUCGCCGGCUAUGGGUCGCUCAGCCUCGGUCAAUAGCAAGGGACCAUCCCCCAUCAUGGAUAAAUAUAACGCACCAACUGUUGAGGAUCCGCUAUGCACUUACCCUACUUCCGCUGUUGCAGCUCCUACUCCUUCCUCCGUAUCUGCGGAUUUAAACGGCAGUUUGCUGGAAUUAUUUAAAGAAGCCCUUGUCGUUGAAGCUUUGCCAGCGCAAGCAGCGUGGCCGUCCGUUCUUCCGCCACUCAACGUUCAACAACUACAACGGCCCAAAGAGCCGCCAGUGCGCGAAACGGAUGCCGGAAAUUCUGCUCAGAUGCAAAUGAUGCAACAGACACUGGACCAAUUGGUUCAGCUCGUCUCUGCUCAACGCGCAGAACAACAACAACUGAAGAACGAGAUUGGUCAGUUGAAGGCGGAAAUGACUCGGAUGCACUCACCGGAACCCAUCCAGCCUCCAUGGAUUGCUCAGAUGGAAUCCACUUUGGCCGUUUAUUUCGAUCGCCAGACUAAAAAGUUGGACGAAGUCAAUUCUCCAGCGAAAACCCAACAAUCCGUGUCGAAACUUCAGUCGACGAUCCGAUCCGAAUUCGAGAACAAGGCGCAUACACUGGAGCAACGAAGUGUUGAUUUUAUCCGCAAGGAAUUGCAAUCGGUCAUUGCGACGGAGAUGAAUAAACUGGAACCGUUUUUGAAAAACUCUACGAUGCAAAUGAUGAGCCAUUUGUCGCAGAACAAGUCCAUCAUCGAUGCGUACAGCCAAGCUACUUCGACGGCGGCCGUGUCGGCCAUGAAUCGCGGCUGCAAGGAUGCCAUCACGUCACAGCUGCUUCCGUCGCUGGAAGUCUCGUUCCAGACACUCUUCGCCCAGCUGCACAACACUUUUUCCAAGGGGAUCACCGAGUUCGUACGAAACAUCGAGAGCAACCUGGAACGACACCGCAGGCUGCAAGACAAGGAAUCGGCCGUUCAACUCAACGCCACCAUGGAUAAGAUUGCCGUCGUUUUGGACCAAGUCCGGCAGUCGAUUUCGUCCGAUACCAAGACGGAAUUGAAGAAAAUCUCUCACGAAUUUCCGGAGAGGGUUCGUGUACUUUUGACUCCUGUGAUCCAGUCCGAGAUGCAACACGCCAUCAAGGAUCAGAAAGCGGCUCUGGACGGUGCCAUGUUGGCAGUUCACCAAGCCGCCCAAAUUCAAUCGCGCGCUGUGACGCCAGCGGUGGUGGAGCUGACGCCAGCCGAGCAUCAAAUCCAAUUGAAGCACAUGAUUGACCAAGGACGAUUAUUCGAAGCUUUCCAGAGGGCGCUCUACAUGAACGACUUGAGUAUGGUAACGUUCGUUUGCUCAAAAGUCGAUGCCGGUAAACUCUUCGCCUCGGAUCCUUGCGUCUUCCCACCACAAAUCCUUUUGGCGUUGAUCCAGCAACUAUCUGCAGAUCUUGGCUCGUCGACUGAAUUGAAAUUAGAAUAUCUCCAAGAAGCACUCUUGGCUGUGAACACUCAAGAUCCGCAGAUUAAGGAGCACGCACCCAAGGUGAUGCCUCAACUGGUGGUGAAUUUGCAUGCCCAGAUGGCCAACAAUCUCAGUAUCACACUGCAACGUCAAUUGCGCAUGUUACUGCGCUGUGCCGAGCCAUUGGCUUCAGCCAAGUAGGACCUUCUUUUGAAGGAGCAACAAAAUAAUAACAACAGGUCCUUCCUUGAAAACAAAAAUAACACGAUGAAAUGGUGCGCAUUUCUUUCCUUCCCAGAUUUUGGUUUCAUUAAUUUUUUCCCCGAUGUGUGUCUAGCUACUCUCAAUUUUCCAUCCCAAGCAAAGUUCAAUUUUCCCUUUGCCAAUUUAAAAAAGAAAAAGAAACAUUACUUAAACUUUUGAAGAAAAACCGAAGCAGCUUGAUAUGAUCGUGACUUAAUAAUUCUUUAAGUUCGUUUUGUUGUGUUUUUCAAUUUCCCCCCCAGGUAAAGAAAGGUUUAGCUCUAACCGCUGUCUUUAUUCCAUGUUGUGUUGAUUUAGUAAUCGAUAAAUAUUGCGCUUGCUCUUCUUCCUCCUUUAUUCUUUGCCCCCUUCAAUUUCUUGUCGCACAACAAAGAAACUUAUCAACUUGGAAGCGAUGCGAUCUUUAAAAUCUGAGAAGACGUGACGUACAAAAGAAAAAACAUAAUACAAGGAAAUUCAAAUAAAGAUACGGUUGUGUGUUUGUUUGUGUACAAUCGCACGUAAUACCAGCAGGUCCUUUUUCCUCCCCGAAGGACGUUGGUUUGUUGUGGUUAAACAAACCAACAUGACGGCGGUGGGUAAAUGCGCACAUGUUUGUAAUUCAAUAAGUUUAUUUCAUUUUGAAUAGAGUGUCUGGAGGUCAUGAAGCUGCUGUGCUGCUGUGACGCUGUUGCGUUUUUUCUUCCCCUUCGCCCAAGGAUUGUUGUGACCAAAAAGAAUCCAGCACGUGGAUUUCAGUUUUUUUCUUAUUUAUUUAUUUAUUUUUAGAUUAUCCACCAAGCAACACCAAGUCCAUUGGAAUUUUUCUUUUUUUUUGGCCGUUAUCGCUUCCUAGUGUCGCAGAGGAUAUGCGUGCCGGGUUUUUUCUUCUCCUCCGCUUUAUCACGUUGCAGCAGCGGCGGCGAGACCCGAACGAUGUCUUGUCUCUUUCCCAGACAACACAGCCCUUAACACAUUUAUUUUUUUUUGUUUCCUUCUGAUGUUUGAACCAUCACGCCAUUGAGUUGUGAUUGGUUCAUUCAGUUGUAUGGCCAUCGAGUCCACCCGGGACAAUUGUAUAGUCGUCGCCGCAACAACAACAACAACCGAAAAAGAAACACAACCACCUUUCGCCGUCUCAUCGUGAGGUUGCAGCAGCAGCCAAAAAGCCGGAAAUUGCGUCGUCUGUAUUAGUUGGCGCAUUGCAUCAUAUCAAAAACCGAUGAUUGGGAAAUCAUGGGUGCAUAUAAUGUUCUGCGUAUACAAACGAAAGUAGAGAAGCAACUCUUUUCCGCCCGCGGGAUUUUUUUAUUUGAGGUGUUGUUGACGCGUUCGUUUAUUUUAUUUUGUUCCCCCCCCCCCCCCGUCUGUUUUGGGGUUUUUCAAGGUUUCCCGCAAAACUCGUCCCGAGGUCUUUCGGAUGUUGUGAAACACAUCAUUGUACAUUUUUCUUGAACGCUGCAAUACCCCCAGGAUAUGAUGAUAGUGUGUGCGUGUAUACGGUUUGAAUUUCCUCUAGUGACCUCGUUUUUCGUUCUUCAGAUGUUUCCGCUUCCGCUUUUGUACAGAUGACAUUGAAGUGAAAAAGGGCCUUUAUCUCUCGGUUGAUUGCUCAGCACAAAAGGUUCCGUUGGUUGCGUAGAUUUUAUCACGCCGGAAUAAAUAAUAAUGUUGUACCUUAUCUAGACCGUAACUUGUAAUAUCUCUGCUCGUUGUACUCCCGGUUGAGAAAGUGUGACAAUAGUGUCGUGAGUCACGGCGCUAUUCUCUUUUCUCCACUGAUUAUUGAGGGAGAAAGGACCGUCGGUGAACCGGAGUUAAAACAAACAGACAAAACGGACGGCAAUUUGCCAAUUAGCCGAUUCAUUUGUAUACACACACAAUGCCUGUUUCCGUAACACUUGAUCAAAUUGACGUAAUCGACCUCGAUCAAUUGACAUCCGCAUAGCGAAUAAGGGAAACGAUCAUUUAUUCACGAAGAAAAAAACGGGAAGAAUAAGGAAGUAUCUCAAUGUUAUAGACUUGUCGUUUGGCUUAACUGAUUGCGACUUUUCACGGAGUAAAGUUAAGUAGGCCACGGCCGCCACUAUAGACUCCCAAUGACUUGCACGCAAAUUAUUUAUGUUCUCUUUUAUACAGUGGAGAGAAAGCCGGAACCGUAGUAAGUACACGUAGUAGUAGUAGAAAAUACUACUACCAAACAGUUGUGUCAAAAUUUCACUUUGUCGUUCUCAUUUCGUGUUGUUGUGGGUGCGAAAGAAAUUUCUCUUUUUCCAACUAUUUCAACCAACAAAUUCAAAGUGUAUUGUUUUUCUUUCAUCAUGACACACAUAGAAUAUUAUUCACCCUCAUUUCUUCCUCUUACACGAGAUAUUUUUUAAAUUACAAUCAAAAUGACCAACAACCAAAAAUCCCAACAACAAGUUUUUUUUUUUUGCCAUAUCCGCGACGGAUUUGAUUAUCUAAUAAUUAGAGUAAUAAAUUUGCGAUGUAUUAAUUAAUAUUAAUAUUUACAGGUACGACGAGGGUAGAUUGGUGGGGAGGGGGUUUGGAGAAUUAUUCAAAUCAUGGAAUGGGUCUGAGAAAAAGAGGAAAAUCAAUUCAAAAAAAAUGAGUCUAAAGAAAUUGAAUGGGUCGGUUAUUAUAUAAUCAAGAAGAAGGGGAGAGGGACUAGUUGGUGA
rnacentral:misc_RNA from 1 species